GAUGAAGAACGUAGCGAAAUGCGAUAAGUAAUGUGAAUUGCAGAAUUCAGUGAAUCAUCGAAUCUUUGAACGCACAUUGCGCCCGCCAGUAUUCUGGCGGGCAUGCCUGUUCGAGCGUCAUUUCAACCCUCAGGCCCCCAGUGCCUGGUGUUGGGGAUCGGCCCAGCCUUCCUGUAAGGCCGCCGGCCCCGAAAUCUAGUGGCGGUCUCGCUGUAGUCCUCCUCUGCGUAGUAGCACAACCUCGCAGUUGGAACGCGGCGGUGGCCAUGCCGUUAAACCCCAACUUCUGAAUGUUGACCUCGGAUCAGGUAGGAAUACCCGCUGAACUUAAGCAUAUCAAUAAGCGGAGGA
rnacentral:misc_RNA from 1 species